rnacentral:piRNA from 1 species
UGCCAACCCCGAGACAGCCUCCCUUC